CGGAGCUUGCUCUGGUGGCGAGUGGCGAACGGGUGAGUAAUAUAUCGGAACGUACCCUGGAGUGGGGGAUAACGUAGCGAAAGUUACGCUAAUACCGCAUACGAUCUACGGAUGAAAGUGGGGGAUCGCAAGACCUCAUGCUCGUGGGGCGGCCGAUAUCUGAUUAGCUAGUUGGUAGGGUAAAAGCCUACCAAGGCAUCGAUCAGUAGCUGGUCUGAGAGGACGACCAGCCACACUGGAACUGAGACACGGUCCAGACUCCUACGGGAGGCAGCAGUGGGGAAUUUUGGACAAUGGGCGAAAGCCUGAUCCAGCAAUGCCGCGUGAGUGAAGAAGGCCUUCGGGUUGUAAAGCUCU
rnacentral:rRNA from 1 species